ensembl:ncRNA W03G11.17 ncRNA
GCGCCGGUAACAGUAUGGGCGAAGGCGGGGUCUCAGUCGGGGGAAAAGAAAUUGUGGGCGGGCGACGGGUCACCUGGAAACAUUACAUUAGUCCCGUCAUCCCGCCGGCGUGCGAGCGUGCGCCGCACAGUGGUUAUUGUAAGACGAUGGAUUAGUGGAC